rnacentral:rRNA from 1 species
AUUGAACGCUGGCGGCAGGCCUAACACAUGCAAGUCGAGCGGAAACGAGUUUAUCUGAACCUUCGGGGGACGAUAACGGCGUCGAGCGGCGGACGGGUGAGUAAUGCCUAGGAAAUUGCCCUGAUGUGGGGGAUAACCGUUGGAAACGAUGGCUAAUACCGCAUGAUGCCUACGGGCCAAAGAGGGGGACCUUCGGGCCUCUCGCGUCAGGAUAUGCCUAGGUGGGAUUAGCUAGUUGGUGAGGUAAGGGCUCACCAAGGCGACGAUCCCUAGCUGGUCUGAGAGGAUGAUCAGCCACACUGGAACUGAGACACGGUCCAGACUCCUACGGGAGGCAGCAGUGGGGAAUAUUGCACAAUGGGCGCAAGCCUGAUGCAGCCAUGCCGCGUGUAUGAAGAAGGCCUUCGGGUUGUAAAGUACUUUCAGUCGUGAGGAAGGUGGUGUAGUUAAUAGCUGCAUUAUUUGACGUUAGCGACAGAAGAAGCACCGGCUAACUCCGUGCCAGCAGCCGCGGUAAUACGGAGGGUGCGAGCGUUAAUCGGAAUUACUGGGCGUAAAGCGCAUGCAGGUGGUUUGUUAAGUCAGAUGUGAAAGCCCGGGGCUCAACCUCGGAAUAGCAUUUGAAACUGGCAGACUAGAGUACUGUAGAGGGGGGUAGAAUUUCAGGUGUAGCGGUGAAAUGCGUAGAGAUCUGAAGGAAUACCGGUGGCGAAGGCGGCCCCCUGGACAGAUACUGACACUCAGAUGCGAAAGCGUGGGGAGCAAACAGGAUUAGAUACCCUGGUAGUCCACGCCGUAAACGAUGUCUACUUGGAGGUUGUGGCCUUGAGCCGUGGCUUUCGGAGCUAACGCGUUAAGUAGACCGCCUGGGGAGUACGGUCGCAAGAUUAAAACUCAAAUGAAUUGACGGGGGCCCGCACAAGCGGUGGAGCAUGUGGUUUAAUUCGAUGCAACGCGAAGAACCUUACCUACUCUUGACAUCCAGAGAACUUUCCAGAGAUGGAUUGGUGCCUUCGGGAACUCUGAGACAGGUGCUGCAUGGCUGUCGUCAGCUCGUGUUGUGAAAUGUUGGGUUAAGUCCCGCAACGAGCGCAACCCUUAUCCUUGUUUGCCAGCGAGUAAUGUCGGGAACUCCAGGGAGACUGCCGGUGAUAAACCGGAGGAAGGUGGGGACGACGUCAAGUCAUCAUGGCCCUUACGAGUAGGGCUACACACGUGCUACAAUGGCGCAUACAGAGGGCGGCCAACUUGCGAAAGUGAGCGAAUCCCAAAAAGUGCGUCGUAGUCCGGAUUGGAGUCUGCAACUCGACUCCAUGAAGUCGGAAUCGCUAGUAAUCGUGGAUCAGAAUGCCACGGUGAAUACGUUCCCGGGCCU